rnacentral:rRNA from 1 species
UCCCUGGCUCAGGAUGAACGCUGGCGGCGUGCUUAACACAUGCAAGUCGAACGAUGAUCCCAGCUUGCUGGGGGAUUAGUGGCGAACGGGUGAGUAACACGUGAGUAACCUGCCCUUAACUCUGGGAUAAGCCUGGGAAACUGGGUCUAAUACCGGAUAUGACUCCUCAUCGCAUGGUGGGGGGUGGAAAGCUUUAUUGUGGUUUUGGAUGGACUCGCGGCCUAUCAGCUUGUUGGUGAGGUAAUGGCUCACCAAGGCGACGACGGGUAGCCGGCCUGAGAGGGUGACCGGCCACACUGGGACUGAGACACGGCCCAGACUCCUACGGGAGGCAGCAGUGGGGAAUAUUGCACAAUGGGCGAAAGCCUGAUGCAGCGACGCCGCGUGAGGGAUGACGGCCUUCGGGUUGUAAACCUCUUUCAGUAGGGAAGAAGCGAAAGUGACGGUACCUGCAGAAGAAGCGCCGGCUAACU